rnacentral:miRNA from 1 species
UUUGUAUAAGAUGCUCCAUU